UGGGGGACGGGCGGCUGCCUACACAUGCAGUCGAACGCCUGUAGCAAUACAGGAGUGGCGCACGGGUGAGUAACGCGUGGGAACCUGCCCUGGAGUGGGGGAUGACCGAGAGAAAUUUCGGCUAAUACCGCAUACGACCUGAGGGUGAAAGAUUUAUCGCUCUAGGAGGGGCCCGCGUCGGAUUAGCUAGUUGGUGGGGUAAUGGCCUACCAAGGCAACGAUCCGUAGCUGGUCUGAGAGGAUGAUCAGCCACACUGGGACUGAGACACGGCCCAGACUCCUACGGGAGGCAGCAGUGGGGAAUAUUGGACAAUGGGGGCAACCCUGAUCCAGCAAUGCCGCGUGAGUGAUGAAGGCCUUAGGGUUGUAAAGCUCUUUCGGCGGGGACGAUGAUGACGGUACCCGCAGAAGAAGCCCCGGCUAACUUCGUGCCAGCAGUCGCGGUAAUACGAAGGGGGCGAGCGUUGUUCGGAAUUACUGGGCGUAAAGGGUGCGCAGGCGGCUCUGAAAGUCAGAUGUGUAAGCCCCGGGCUUAACCUGGGAUUUGCAUUUGAUACUCUGGAGCUUGUGUACGGGAGAGGAGAGUGGAAUUCUCAGUGUAGAGGUGAAUUCGAGAUAUUGAUAAUUAACACCGGCGGCGAUCGCGGCUCUCUGUAUCGUUUCCUGUUCGCUUAGUUGCGUAAGCGUGGGGAGCAAACAGGAUCAGAUACCCUGGACAGACCAACGCCGUUUUUUUUUUUUUUUUUGACGUGAGGAACGCUCAGCCCUUUCGGCGUCUUAUCUUAUCGUGAUAAGCACAACCGUCUUGGUUAGUACGGUCGCAAGGUAAACUCUGAUGUAUUUGGUGGGGGGUUUGUCAUGCCGGGCGAGCAUGGUGGUCUAUUUCGACGCACGCGCAAUGAUCCUUACUUGCUAUGACUUGCCCCGGUUGGGGGUCGAAGAAAGCAGUCUCCUCAUGUUCCGGCUGGACUGGGUGGACCUAUUGUUUGCCAUGGACUUUCUUUCUG
rnacentral:rRNA from 1 species